CUGAAAAGGUCUGCGAAACAAAACUAGUACACAACUUUUACUUUAACCUGCGGCAAACGUGUCAAAGUUUCGAGGGAAAAUCGCGGACUUGGCAACACAGCGCAUGUUUACGAAAUGCAGCGAAGUGGAACGUAAAAAACGAAUGGCGUUUAAAAAAUACGUAGGCGCGUUGCACGCUGUUAACGGAAACGCCUCAGGCGCACUGUCUAUAAAGCGGAAGCAAUUGCGUAAACAACAAAUAUCCGCCAUAAAACAAAUAAUAAUAAGACGAAACAACAAAUUAACGAAUGUCCAUAUGUUAGGAUUUGAUCAGCAGGUGUAAUGUCAGUUAAACAGCGAACUCCUGUUAACGGAGGAUUCCGUUAACGCUUAUGAGGAUUUAAUCACUGGAUCUGACGAAAUUUGCCAGAGAUCAAGAUAAGCCUCCGUUCUACACAAAAGUGCAUGUGGGUCGCAUGAAUAAUGGAUACGCGGCUUGAACUCCCGCUGAACUCCAGCUUUGUCAAAUGGAGAUCUACAGCAAACCUGCACGCCCAUUACACGUAUCCUGCACUGUGCUGAUGUGGCCGUUCAUUCAUCCGUUCUGGGUGUCUGUCACCGCUCUGGGCGCGGCCGAUCGGCUGACACACUCAAACAAGAAAAAAACAACCUCGUACUGGUUUGAUACAAUAUGAAGUGGGGAAGCUUAUCUGCAAUGGAGAGUGAGAUACGGCCCAGAGUCCCGUCGAGCACAAACUCGCAUUACAGACGCAAAGCAGCGUGGGAAACCUGGGGUUAAGCGUUGCACAAUGCAUCCUGGGACAUCCAUCUGUUUUGUGUCAACUCGCCCCAGCGACACACUGACGGUUGGGGGCUCGUCCAAACACAAACACCUCCUGACGCUCACGGAAGAAAUACCUUUCAUCUGAAGUCAUGCUGGCUGUUGUGUAACUCAAUGCGGGGCAAAGCGAAGAUGGCGAACGUCACCGCAGGUCAAAUUCCUGAGCUCGUAGUAAGACUGACGCAGGCCGUGGCGAGAGAAGCGUAUGGCGUAUAGAAGAGCUCAGCAGAAUCAGUAAACUUGUUUUGUCAUCACAAUCUUUUGGACACAUUCCAAGGCCCAUAAUUCAUUGCAACAAGCACAAUGACAACAAUGACAACAAAAAGAUGCCGUUUCACUAGCAGAGAAGAUUACGGGCUGCCGUCUGAACCGCAGCUCUCGUGACGUGGAAGAAGACCUGUAAUUGAGGAUCAAACUUUCUCUGCUUAAUUAUGCUGGUUUACAGUGGAUCCAUGUGGCUUUGACAGAUCUCACAUCUGGGUAAACAGAAGAAAGAAUGAGACGCUGGUGUGUUGUUUGCAGAAAGACGCUGUGGAAAAUGUUAAUGGAAGAUGGACCACUGAGGCAUCGGUCCAGACGCAGAGAGCACGAUAAUACGAUUAAGAAGAGAGGAAGGUAGAGAAGAUCUGUGUGCUUGAACAUUAGUGUUAUCAAAGCCUAAUGGCCAGAAGCGGCUUCAAAGAGAUGCUGUUGUUGUGCUGAAUGUUAGGAGAGCUGUGCCGUUUCUCUUCUGAGUGAUUUCAGGUGGGAAAAAAAGGAUAAAUACUAAAGGACAAGCCUGAGCUACGUUUUAUCUAAAAACAAGAAUAUCAUAGAGAAAACAGCCUAGCAACCACAUAGAAACAACCUGGCAACCACCAAGACCAUCUUAGAAGCCACCUAGCAGCCACCAAGGACAUUGUAGCAACCACAUAGCAAUACCCUGGCAAACAACAUCUUAUCAAUCACAUAGUAAUGCCCUGAAAACCACCAAGAACAUCUUAGCAACCACUUACAAAUAAUUUAGUAACACCUUGGCAACCCCCAUCUUAUUAACCACAUAGCAACGCCCUGGCAACUACCAAGAACAUCUUAGUAACUACAUAAAAACCACAAAACCACAUAGCAAUGCCUUGGCAACCACUGUCUUAGAAACCCCACAGCAAUGCCUUGGAAAUCACCAAGAUCAUCUUAGCAACCACCAAUAACAUCUUAGCAACUAAACGGCAAUGUCCUGACAACCUGCAUUUUAUUCACUACAUAGAAAUGUCCUGGCAACCACCAUCUUAGAAAUCGCAAAACAAGGCCCUGGCAACCACAAAGAUCACUUUAGCAAUCAAAUAGCAACACCCUGGCAACCACAAGAACAUCUUAGCCACUAAACAGCAAUGCCUUGGCAACCCCCAACUUAUCAACCACAUAGCAACACCUAGGCAACCAUCAAGGACAUCUUAGCAACCAAACUGCAGUGCCCUGGCAACCACCAUCUUUGAAACAACAUAGCAACGCCCUGGAAACCACCAAGAACAGCUUAACAACCAAACAGCAACACCCUGGCAACCACAAGAACAUCUUAGCAACUAAACAGAAAUGCACCGGCAACCCCCAACUUAUCAGCCACAUAGCAACACCCUGGCAGCCAUCAAGGGCAUCUUAGCAACCAAAUGGCAAUGCCCUGGCAACCACCAUCUUUGAAGUGAUGUAGCACGCCUUGGCAACCACCAAGAACAUCUUAACAACCAAAUAGCAACAGCCUGGCAACCACAAAAACAUCUUAGCAACUAAACAGCAAUGCCCUGGCAACCCCCAACUUAUCAACCACAUAGCAACACCCUGGCAACCACAAAGAUUAUCUUAACACCUUGGCAACCCCCAUCUUAGCAACCACAUAACUAUGCCCUGGCAACCACCAAAACAUCUUAGUAACCAAAAAGAAAUGCCCUGGCAGCCACCAUCUUUGAAACAACAUAGCAAUGCCCUGACAACCACCAAGAACAUCUUAACAACCAAAUAGCAACACCCUGGCAACCACAAAGAUUAUCUUAGCAACCACAUAGUAACACCAUGUCAGCCACCAUUUUAGAAACCUCAUAGCAACGCCCUGGAAACCACCAAGAACAUCCUAACAAACACCUAGCAAUGACCUAGCAACCACCUAGGACAUCUUGGCAACCAAAUAGCAACACCCUGGCAACCACCAUCUUAGCAACCUCAUAGUACCGCCCUGGGAACCAACAAGAACUUCUUAACAACCACAUAGCAACUCCCUGGCAACCAGCAAGAUCAUCUUAGCAACCAAACAGCAACAUUCUGGCAACGACCAUCUUAGAAACCCCAUAGCAACACCCUGGAAACCACCAAAAAUAUCUUAACAACCACCUAGCAAUGCCCAGCAACCACUAAGGGCAUCUUGGCAACCAAAUAGCAACACCCUGGCAACCACCAUUUUAGCAACCUCAUAUUACCGCCCUGGAAACCAUCAAGAACAUCUUAACAGCCACAUAGCAACGCCCUGGCAACCACAAACAGCACCCUGUCAUUGUGGCAGUGAGUUUUGAACAGGCAAACAUCACUCACAUUUUCUUUUCAAUAUAAAAAUCUAUUUAGAAGUUCUUUUCAUUAAAGACAAAAGUCCAGCUGCUUUCCUUUGCAGAAAACUGCUGAAUGACUUUCAGACGUCUAGCACAUGUAGGCCUGUUGUUAGUGGAUCUGUUUUGGUCUCUUGAGUGUAUGAGUGUGUGUGUGUGUGUGUGUGUGUGUGUGUGUGUUCAGGAUUCACUGCACUCCAAAGUAUUUUUGCACUUGCGUUCUUCCCGUAAAAGCAGGCAGGCUGCCACAUGCUCGCACGCCCCAUCCACAUGAUCUGAGAGAGAGAGAGAGAGACAGGAGGGGGAGGCUCUUAAUGCAGUGAGUCAGCACUCCAGACUCCAUUUCAUCUCCAUCCUGACCGACCAACACGGCUUAACCCUUUCCUACCUCCCCUCCGCUUCACUAGCAGCUUUUAAUGACCUCAAUACAGGAAGCAGAGACUUAGAUCAUCACAUAAAUUCGGCAAGGAUGCAUUAAAUGAAUCAAAAGUGACAGUAAAGACAUUUAUGAUGUUACAAAGGAUUUCUAUUUCAAAUAAAUGCUGUUCUUUUGAAUGAUCCAUUUAUCAAGAAUCCUAAAAAAUAAAAUGUAUCAGUUUAAAUAAAAAUAUGAAGCAGCGCAACUGUUUCCAACAUU